UGAGUGUGAUCUGCGUCCUCAUCUGGACUCUCCUCUGCUGCUGCUUCACAGAGUCCAGAGGACAGGUCACAGUGACUCAGCCUGGAGCAGUGAGCUCCAAUGUGGGAGGAUCUGUCUCCAUCUCAUGUAGAACCAGUCAGAAUGUUUAUAUCAACAACUGUUUAGCCUGGUAUCAACAGAAAGAUGGAGAAACUCCUAAACUACUAAUUCAAUAUGCUACCACUCGAGCAUCAGGGAUUCCAACUCGUUUUACAGGCAGUGGAUCAAACUCUGAUUUCACUUAUCAUGUCAUCAACAGUCAGUGGACGUUCACACAGUGAAAAACAGUCGUACAAAAACCUCCCUCAUUCAGGCUGAACAGAAACUGAACUGACUGCUGCAGCUGGAAGAUGCUGCAGACACUGAUACAGUUCACUGAACAUCCAUUCUAACAAACACAAGAAUCGC